rnacentral:lncRNA from 1 species
GGCACUGCCAUCCAUCGUAGGCCGUGUUCUUAGCCCUGAUUUGCUGGAGCCAGCACCUGAGAAACCACGUUCUGAGGCAAUGAAGAGUCCCUUCUCCGAUAUUUCGGAGCCCACAUCUGUCAGUGGUUCAUGUUUACCGGGUUCUUCUCAGAUCCAUGAGGAGCUUCAGCAGACUUUUGACACAUCUUCUCAGGUGCCCAUUCAGGAAGAGGUGAACCAAGAGCAACAGCAGCAGCUGCAACAACAGCAGCAGCAGCUUCUGCCACUGCCUGAGCAGCCACAACAGUGUAAUACCACCAGAGAAAACCAAGAAAUAUUAUUUCCUGAAGAUCACCAUCAGCCCCACAUGAAUCUUUUUCCUGUGACCCACGGCCCAGGGUCCCAUGACAUUUAUUCUACCAACCUCCCUCAGACUACUAUCACUCACAACCCGCAGCUUGUAACACUGGAGACUCCACAGGACUACAUCUGCCUCUGGCAAGAGCCUCAAGACUCGCAGAGUCAUCUUUACCAAGCAGUCCAAAUGAGUAAUUGGUCUCCCAAUGAGCAGGCCACCCUGGGCCAAACCAUCUGUACUCAGCAGGUGGCACCCACUGAACAAGUCCAGCAUUCUUCAGAACUGGGGACUGUCCAAGCCGGGAAUAAUGGGCCGAACGAGCUAAACUCCUGUAUGUCAUCACAGCAGUCCCACUUGAAUCUGUAGAGCCACAUUAGCUCUACUUUUCUCUCAGGCCUUGAGAGAAGGGGGAUAAGACAGGCCAACGAAGCUUGCGUGGCCAGGGGACCUCCAGGUUCCCUGGACUGGGG